rnacentral:rRNA from 1 species
GCAUAUCAAUAAGCGGAGGAAAAGAAACCAACCGGGAUUGCCUCAGUAACGGCGAGUGAAGCGGCAACAGCUCAAAUUUGAAAGCCCGCGGGCGUUGUAAUUUGCAGGCGGAUGUUUUGGGGCGGGCGCUGUCUACGUUCCUUGGAACAGGACGCCGCAGAGGGUGAGAGCCCCGUGCGAUGGCGCCUUUAACCGCGUAAAACUCCGCCGACGAGUCGAGUUGUUUGGGAAUGCAGCUCCAAGUGGGUGGUAAAUUCCAUCUAAAGCUAAAUACUGGCGAGAGACCGAUAGCGAACAAGUACAGUGAUGGAAAGAUGAAAAGCACUUUGAAAAGAGAGUGAAACAGCACGUGAAAUUGUUGAAAGGGAAGGGUAUGCGAUUAGCGGCCAGCAGGAGGUGCGUUCUCGCGAAAAGGCCGUGCACCGUCUUCGGACACCGUGCGCGGAGAUGGCGAGGGGGCGCCUGAGGUCUGCGACUCGAGGUUGCUGGCGUAAUGAUUGCAUACCACCCGUCUUGAAACACGGACC